rnacentral:rRNA from 1 species
GUAGGGUGCAAGCGUUGUCCGGAAUUACUGGGUGUAAAGGGAGCGCAGGCGGGAAGGUAAGUUGGAUGUUUAAUCUACGGGCUCAACCCGUAUCAGCAUUCAAAACUAUUUUUCUUGAGUGGUGCAGAGGUAGGCGGAAUUCCCGGUGUAGCGGUGGAAUGCGUAGAUAUCGGGAGGAACACCAGUGGCGAAGGCGGCCUGCUGGGCACUAACUGAUGCUGAGGCUCGGAAGCAUGGGUAGCAAACAGGGAUUAGAUACCCUGGUAGUCCAUGCCGUAAACGAUGAUUACUAGGUGUGGGAGGAUUGACCCCCCUUCCGUGCCGCAGUUAACACAAUAAGUAAUCCACCUGGGGAGUACGACCGCAAGGUUG